rnacentral:rRNA from 1 species
GACGUAGGGCGCGAGCGUUGUCCGGAUUUAUUGGGCGUAAAGAGCUCGUAGGCGGUUUGUCGCGUCUGCUGUGAAAGUCCGAGGCUCAACCUCGGAUCUGCAGUGGGUACGGGCAGACUAGAGUGUGGUAGGGGAGACUGGAAUUCCUGGUGUAGCGGUGGAAUGCGCAGAUAUCAGGAAGAACACCCGUGGCGAAGGCGGCUCUCUGGGACGGUACUGACGCUGAGACGCGAAAGCGUGGGGAGCGAACAGG